AGGGAAGAAUGGAUAAAACAAGGUACCACUGGGAAACCUUUGUCUAAAGGAAUCCUUCUAGGAAGGGCUGCCCUGUAGUUGGCAAUUGAGGCUAAGUGACUUGCCCAGGAUCACACAGCUAGUAGAGGAGUAGAAUAUUCAGUCUGAGAUGAGAACAUAAGCCACCUAGAUCUGGACUUGGCAAUCCAGGAAUCCAGGCAAGGUAUUACAUCAAGCCCAAUAAAAGGCAGCAACAAUGCCAACUUUGACCAUGAACUUGGUCAGCUCAGUGCUAUGUAGGAAAGGAGCAAAAUUGUGUUCCUAAUUUAUAUUCAAAAGAGACUGAAGUGAGGGUGUUGUACCCCCAAAAAUGUUUGGGAUAAUGUUUAAUGUUUGUUCUUUACAUAAGUUUGAAGGAAAUAUAAUUUUGUAAAAGCUAAUCUGAUAAUAAAUGGUUAAAUGGAAA